AGAGAUGCACUGGGUGUAAAGCGUGCGCAGGCGGUUUUGUAAGACAGAGGUGAAAUCCCCGGGCUCAACCUGGGAACUGCCUUUGUGACUGCAAGGCUGGAGUGCGGCAGAGGGGGAUGGAAUUCCGCGUGUAGCAGUGAAAUGCGUAGAUAUGCGGAGGAACACCGAUGGCGGAGGCAAUCCCCUGGGCCUGCACUGACGCUCAUGCACGAAAGCGUGGGGAGCAAACA
rnacentral:rRNA from 1 species